UACGUAGGGACCGAGCGUUGUCCGGAAUCAUUGGGCGUAAAGAGCGUGUAGGCGGCCAAUUAAGUCCUGCGUGAAAUCUCGGGGCUCAACCCCGAGCGGUCGUGGGAAACUGGUUGGCUAGAGUGCGGGAGAGGAGAGUGGAAUUCCUGGUGUAGCGGUGAAAUGCGCAGAUAUCAGGAGGAAUACCCAUAGCGAAGGCAGCUCGCUGGGACGUUACUGACGCUGAGGCGCGAAAGCGUGGGGAGCGAACAGG
rnacentral:rRNA from 1 species